rnacentral:rRNA from 1 species
CGUGCGUGGAGGAAGAAGGCCUUCGGGUUGUAAACUUCUGUCGUGUGGGAAGAACUUUGACGGUACCACACAAGAAAGGGGCGCCUAACUCUGUGCCAGCAGGCGCGGUAAUACAGAGGCCCCGAGCGUUAUCCGGAAUCAUUGGGCGUAAAGCGUCCGCAGGCGGCUAUGUGCGUCUGCUGUUAAAUGGCAGGGCUCAACCCUGAUCACGUUGCAGUGGAUACGACAUAGCUAGAGGCAGGAAGAGAUGAACGGAACUCAUAGUGGAGCAGUGAAAUGCGUUGAUAUUAUGGGGAACACCAAUUGCGAAGGCAGUUCAUUGGUCCUGUCCUGACGCUCAUGGACGACAGCGUGGGGAGCGAAGCGGAUUAGAUACCCGCGUAGUCCACGCCGUAAACGAUGUCAACUAGGCAUUGGGAGUAUCGACCCUCUCAGUGUCGUAGCUAACGCGUUAAGAUGACCGCCUGGGUAGUACGGCCGCAAGGCUA